UAAAGGUUAAAGAGGUUUGGAACUUUUCUUGUCUUCGUUUCUCUAGAAAAUAGUGAUUUUAUAGUAGUUAAUCCAAUAAUUUAGGGAGUAUUAUGAAGUUUUACUAAAAUAAUAGACAUAAAAAUAAAAUGAUGCCAAUGUACCAUGAAAUUGAGUUUAAUAUACAUUAAUAAAAAUUUAGAAUGUGUUUAUAAAUUUUAAAACAACACUACCGGUCAUAGGCUUAAGUAAAUAGAGCAUUUACGGAAAAGUUCAAUAUUUUCGUAGGGGUUAACACAUAGAUUUUGAGAAAAGAUCAAAAAUAUGAAAAUAUUGUAUUAAUGCAUAGCUGCAUCCUGCACUAACAUAUGAUGAAGUUCAAAGAGGUUUGGAACUUUUGUUGUCUUCGUUUCUCUAGAAAAUAGUGAUUUUAUAGUAGUUAAUCCAAUAAUUUAGGGAGUAUUAUGAAGUUUUACUAAAAUAAUAGACAUAAAAAUAAAAUGAUGCCAAUGUACCAUGAAAUUGAGUUUAAUAUACAUUAAUAAAAAUUUAGAAUGUGUUUAGAAAUUUUAAAACAACACUACCGGUCAUAGGCUUAAGUAAAUAGAGCAUUUACGGAAAAGUUCAAUAUUUUCGUAGGGGUUAACACAUAGAUUUUGAGAAAAGAUCAAAAAUAUGAAAAUAUUGUAUUAAUGCAUAGCUGCAUCCUGCACUAACAUAUGAUGAAGUUCAAAGAGGUUUGGAACUUUUUUUGUCUUCGUUUCUCUAGAAAAUAGCGAUUUUAUAGUGGUUUGUUCACCAAUUUAAGAAAUAUUAUGAAGUUUUGCUAAAUUAAUUGACAA